UGGGGAAUCUUCCGCAAUGGGCGAAAGCCUGACGGAGCAACGCCGCGUGAACGAUGAAGGUCUUAGGAUCGUAAAGUUCUGUUGUUAGGGACGAAGGGUAAGAAUCAUAAUAAGGUUUUUAUUUGACGGUACCUAACGAGGAAGCCACGGCUAACUACGUGCCAGCAGCCGCGGUAAUACGUAGGCGGCAAGCGUUGUCCGGAAUUAUUGGGCGUAAAGGGAGCGCAGGCGGGAAACUAAGCGGAUCUUAAAAGUGCGGGGCUCAACCCCGUGAUGGGGUCCGAACUGGUUUUCUUGAGUGCAGGAGAGGAAAGCGGAAUUCCCAGUGUAGCGGUGAAAUGCGUAGAUAUUGGGAAGAACACCAGUGGCGAAGGCGGCUUUCUGGACUGUAACUGACGCU
rnacentral:rRNA from 1 species